rnacentral:rRNA from 1 species
UGCAGUCGAACGGUUUUUCUUUACAGCUUGCUCUUACGGCUGGCGAGUGGAGGACGGGUGAGGAAUGCAUCGGAAUCUACUCUGUCGUGUGGGAUAACGUUAGGAAUCUUACGCUAAUACCGCAUACGACCUACGGUAGAUUCCAGGGGAUCUUCGGACCUUGCGCGAUUGAAUGACCCGAUGCCCGAUUACCUAGUUGGCGUAGUAAGAGCCCACCAAGGCGACUAUCGGUAGCUGGUCUGAGAGGAUGAUCAGCCACACUGAAACUGAAACCCGGUCCUGACUCCUACGGCAGACUCCUACGGGAAAUAUUGGACAAUGGUCGCAAGCCUGAUCCAACCAUACCGCGUGGGUGAACAAGGCCUUCGGGUUGUAAAGUCCUUUUGUUGGGAAAUAAAAGCAGCCGGUUAAUACCCGGAUGUUCUGACGGUACCCCCAUAAUAAGCUCCGGCUAACUUCGCGCCAGUAGCCGCGGGACUACAAACGGUGCAAGCGUUACUCGGAAUUACUGGGCGUAAAGCGUGCGUAGGAGAUUGAUUAAGUCUGUCGUGAUAGCCCUGAUCUCAACCUGCCAAUGUCGAUGGAAACUGGGCGACUAAAGUGUGGAGAAGUGUAUGGAAAUUCCUGGAGUAGCAUUGAAAUGCGUAGAGAUCAGUGAGGUACAUCUCGUGGACGAAGGCGACUGCCUGAAGCCAGCAUCUGCAUCACUGUAGGCACUGAACAGCUGUAGGGGUACGCAAAGCAGUGAUU